CUCGAUAGUUAUUAUUACUCCUGGAUAAAUUAGGAGAAGAUGGGGGAUUUCUACAGCCAUAAAAUGUGCAGCUGUUUGUACCACACUUGAAAACACUCAGCUUUCAAAAGGUGUCACCCACCAAGCAACAGUUACAUCACUGGAAAAUGGAGGAAGUAGCACAUCAGAAAGCAUUUUGGGUCACCACAUUAACAGACAUUGCACCUGUAUCGAGGAAGGAGUCAAUCUAAAUAACACACGCUACUGUUGGUGAAUUAGUCUGGGCUCUUUUUUUUAGGUGAUGAGAGUACAGGGGCAAUUUAAUUGUUCGGUCAUACAUAUUGAAUCUGUAUCUUCUGCUUGUUUCGCGUUCCUUCCACUGUAAGUAUAGUUAGUAAUAGGGCAUAUAGUAUGAAAAGACUGGAGUGAUAAAUAUCAUAUGUUUCAUAUUCUUUUUAUUGUAUAUAUGUUUCAUUCCACAAAACCCCUUUAGUCGUGGAGGUAACUUUUUGUUUUUCAUUUUUAAACAAGGAACAACUGCUCCCUAUAAUUUUACAUUUUAUGUUUACUU